UGGUGUAGCUCAAUUGGCAGAGCAGCUGAUUUGUAAUCAGCAGGUUGCGGGUUCAAGUCCCAUC
rnacentral:tRNA from 1 species